rnacentral:rRNA from 1 species
CUUGGUUCAGAACGAACGCUGGCGGCGUGCUUAACACAUGCAAGUCGAACGCGAAAGGGACUUCGGUCCUGAGUAAAGUGGCGCACGGGUGAGUAACGCGUAGAUAACCUGUCUUCAUGUCUGGAAUAAUACGCCGAAAGGGGUACUAAUACCGGAUAUUCUUGCUUUUCAUAAGUUAUGCAAGCAAAGGUGGCCUCUGCAUAUGCUACUGCAUGAAGAGGGGUCUGCGUACCAUUAGCUAGUAGGUGGGUAAUGGCCUACCUAGGCGACGAUGGUUAGCGGGUCUGAGAGGAUGAUCCGCCACACUGGCACUGGAACACGGGCCAGACUCCUACGGGAGGCAGCAGUGAGGAAUAUUGCGCAAUGGGGAAACCCUGACGCAGCGACGCCGCGUGAGUGAAGGAAGGCCUUCGGGUCGUAAAGCUCUGUCAAGAGGAAAGAAGUGUACAAUGGCUAAUACCUGUUGUAUUUGACGGUACCUCUAAAGGAAGCACCGGCUAACUCCGUGCCAGCAGCCGC